rnacentral:lncRNA from 1 species
AUCGCACUUAUUUUUAAUCUUAUAUGCAUUAGCAUUGUUUGUAGAAUUGCACUAGGAUUAAAGUAUUAUAUCUAUGCUAGCUAUUGUUGUCCUAGUAGAGUAGAUACUCCUCGUCAUCAUAUCCCCACCAAUAGCCAUCAAAUUAGUUUACGCUUAGCUGUGCUAUGUAAAUAUACGUGGGAGGGAACCACUUUCACUCUAGAAAUAUCGUUGGUAUAAUUGUUAUUUUGAAGUAUGGUUAAAAUCAACCCCUAAUGAACCAUCU